AAUGUUCAAAUAUUUAUAGGAUUAAGAUGGGCAUGCGUGUCAUUAGCUAGUUGGCGGGGUAACGGCCCACCAAGGCGACGAUGACUAGGGGAUCUGAGAGGAUGACCCCCCACACUGGUACUGAGACACGGACCAGACUCCUACGGGAGGCAGCAGUAAGGAAUAUUGGUCAAUGGAGGCAACUCUGAACCAGCCAUGCCGCGUGCAGGAAGACAGCCCUCUGGGUCGUAAACUGCUUUUAUUCGGGAAUAAACCACAUUACGUGUAAUGUGCUGAAUGUACCGAAGGAAUAAGGAUCGGCUAACUCCGUGCCAGCAGCCGCGGUAAUACGGAGGAUCCAAGCGUUAUCCGGAUUUAUUGGGUUUAAAGGGUGCGUAGGCGGCUUAUUAAGUCAGGGGUGAAAGUCGGUGGCUCAACCAUCGCAGUGCCUUUGAUACUGAUGAGCUUGAAUACACUAGAGGUAGGCGGAAUGUGACAAGUAGCGGUGAAAUGCAUAGAUAUGUCACAGAACACCGAUUGCGAAGGCAGCUUACUAUGGUGUGAUUGACGCUGAGGCACGAAAGCGUGGGGAUCAAACAGGAUUAGAUACCCUGGUAGUCCACGCCCUAAACGAUGAAUACUCGCUGUUAGCGAUAUACAGUUAGCGGCUAAGCGAAAGCGUUAAGUAUUCCACCUGGGGAGUACGCCCGCAAGGGUGAAACUCAAAGGAAUUGACGGGGGCCCGCACAAGCGGAGGAGCAUGUGGUUUAAUUCGAUGAUACGCGAGGAACCUUACCCGGGCUUGAAAGUUAGUGAAUCAUUUAGAGAUAGAUGAGUCCGCAAGGACACGAAACUAGGUGCUGCAUGGCUGUCGUCAGCUCGUGCCGUGAGGUGUUGGGUUAAGUCCCGCAACGAGCGCAACCCCUAUGUUUAGUUGCCAGCACGUUAUGGUGGGGACUCUAAACAGACUGCCUGUGCAAACAGAGAGGAAGGAGGGGACGACGUCAAGUCAUCAUGGCCCUUACGUCCGGGGCUACACACGUGCUACAAUGGAUGGUACAGAGGGCAGCAAGCUGGCAACAGCAAGCGAAUCUCAAAAAGCCAUUCACAGUUCGGAUAGAGGUCUGCAACUCGACCUCUUGAAGUUGGAUUCGCUAGUAAUCGCGUAUCAGCAAUGACGCGGUGAAUACGUUCCCGGGCCUUGUACACACCGCCCGUCAAGCCAUGGAAGUUGGGGGUACCUAAAGUAUGUAACCGCAAGGAGCGUCCUAGGGUAAAACCGAUAACUGGGGCUAAGUCGUAACAAGGUA
rnacentral:rRNA from 1 species